UACGUAGGGGGCAAGCGUUGUCCGGAAUCAUUGGGCGUAAAGAGCGUGUAGGCGGUCCGGUAAGUCGGCUGUGAAAGUCCAGGGCUCAACCCUGGGAUGCCGGUCGAUACUGCCGGACUAGAGUUCGGAAGAGGCGAGUGGAAUUCCCGGUGUAGCGGUGAAAUGCGCAGAUAUCGGGAGGAACACCUAUGGCGAAGGCAGCUCGCUGGGACGUUACUGACGCUGAGACGCGAAAGCGUGGGGAGCAAACAGGAUUAGACUACCCGUGGUAG
rnacentral:rRNA from 1 species